GUAGGUGGCAAGCGUUGUCCGGAAUUAUUGGGCGUAAAGCGCGCGCAGGCGGUUCUUUAAGUCUGAUGUGAAAGCCCACGGCUCAACCGUGGAGGGUCAUUGGAAACUGGAGAACUUGAGUACAGAAGAGGAAAGCGGAAUUCCACGUGUAGCGGUGAAAUGCGUAGAGAUGUGGAGGAACACCAGUGGCGAAGGCGGCUUUCUGGUCUGUAACUGACGCUGAGGCGCGAAAGCGUGGGGAAGCAAACAGGAUUAGAUACCCUGGUAGUCCACGCCGUAAACGAUGAGUGCUAAGUGUUAGGGGGUUUCCGCCCCUUAGUGCUGCAGCUAACGCAUUAAGCACUCCGCCUGGGAGUACGGCCGCAAGGCUG
rnacentral:rRNA from 1 species